rnacentral:misc_RNA from 1 species
CUCUCUCUCUCUCUCUCUGUCUGUUUCACUUUGAAUUUAGUUUCUUAUGAAGUCUGGUAGGGAGAGAGAGAUAGAUCGCGAGCUCGAGAUUUGAGGAAGAAAGAGCCAGGCGCUUUCAGUUCAGAUCAGAGUGAAACUUCAGAGAGAAAACUGAAAAAUGACAGCGUUUUAACCGGAGGAAGGAAAGUACUGUCUGUAGUAUCUUAUCUCAGGUGUAUUGCUCAACUGUGCUCACUAACUGUCUCGUGAGUCGUGACACUGACCCCGUAUUUGGAGGUAUUUUUCUAUCAGUUAUACAUGAGUACGUAUGCAUUUAUGUUUUGAGAGAGACAGAGAGAAGGAGGUGGGUAGAAUGGGACACAUGUCCUAGCGAAGUCACAAGCUUCAUGUGUCCAACGGAAAGCUUAAAUGGGAUUUUUCUUGCUUGGUUUUCAAGCAUGGUAGUAGGUCGCCACCACAACCAGAAGUUUUCUGUUAUGACAUUGCAAUUGAUAAUUGUUGAAGGAAGAAGAAGAAAUGUGAUAUGGGGUUUGAUUUAAUAAAGCUCGGACAAAAGAUUAACAGAGGACUUUCCAAUCAUAACUACCCAUGAUUAAACAUAUUUUUUGUUGGUGCCUAUUUUUGGGUUAUAAGGAAUUUUGGAUUGUAAUUUAUUACCCACAAUUUGUGUCUCUCUCCGUUGCAGUUUCGAGUCUAUAUCUUAAUAACUGUCACUGGCUUUCCUUUUAUUUAUUUCGUUUUUGGGGAAGAAUUAUUUUUGGGUGUUGGUUAACAAUGAUGAUGAGCUUGUUGUUGUUGUUGAUAUGACCCAUAAUUAGCGUGUCCAUUGGCUACUUAUCUUUUGUGUUAGUUGGAUGAUACCCUUGAUUAACUUCUUGUUGCAGAUACUGUCGGAGUAGCGAAUUAGCGAUGGACCUACUAUCUUUAAGCCAAAUUCAACAACCUUGCUUAUAACAUCUAACCUGUCUUAUAUUUUAGGAAAGCAAGAGGAAGUGCGAGUAUUUUGACUUCCGCAUUUUGAUUUUCCUUUCUCAGAAGUUGAAAUUAUGACCUUAUUUUUUGUUUAAUUAUUGGUGGGGUUGAAAAGUCCAAACGUGGAGUGUGAGAAAUGGGGUCGAUUGGAGGGGCUGAGCUACCAAAGAUCGAGAAGAUGCAAACAGCAAGUGCCCGUGAAGAGAAGAUUCUUGUUUUGGUGAGGUUGAGGCCCUUGAAUGAGAAGGAGAUUGUGGCAAAUGAAGUUGCUGACUGGGAAUGCAUCAAUGAUACCACCAUCUUGUACCGGAAUACCCUUCGCGAAGGCUCUACAUUUCCAUCUGCCUAUACUUUUGAUAGAGUAUUUCGGGGUGACUGCUCCACAAGGCAAGUGUAUGAGGAAGGAGCCCAGGAAGUUGCUCUUUCAGUUGUCAGUGGUAUUAACUGUAAGUAUAACAUGAGUGUCAUGUUGUGUGUCACACUAUUUACCAAGAAUGUAUAUUCACCUCCUUUUCUUUUUUCCAGCAAGUAUUUUUGCGUAUGGGCAGACAAGCAGUGGAAAGACAUACACCAUGAUGGGGAUAACUGAGUAUACAGUAGCAGAUAUAUUUGACUAUAUACAUAGGGUCACAUAAGUUUCUAAUUUAUUUUGUUUUUAUUCCCUGCUCAGUUUUCCAAUCAUAAGUCUUGUUUGUAAAUAUAGGUAAUGCUGAAAUUCUUGCCAUAAUGUUACUUUUGCAGCAUAAAGAGAGAGCAUUUGUUUUGAAGUUCUCAGCAAUUGAGAUAUACAAUGAAGGUAUUAGAGAUCUCCUUAGCACAGAUUCUACUCCACUUAGAUUGCUAGAUGAUCCAGAGAAAGGGACAGUUGUUGAGAAAGUUACAGAGGAAACACUAAAGAACUGGAGCCAUCUAAAGGAGCUCCUUUCUGUUUGUGAAGCUCAAAGACAGAUUGGGGAGACCGUCCUGAAUGAGAAAAGCUCCAGAUCUCAUCAAAUUCUGAGACUGACAAUUGAAAGUUCUGCACUUGAGUAUUUAGGCAAUGACAAGUCAAGCACCCUUGCAGCUACCGUGAAUUUUGUUGAUCUAGCAGGAAGUGAGCGUGCAUCUCAGUCUUUGUCAGCUGGCAUGAGGUUAAAAGAAGGCUGCCAUAUAAAUCGCAGUUUACUGACAUUGGGGACUGUUAUCCGAAAGCUAAGCAAAGGAAGAAAUGGACAUGUUCCUUUCAGAGAUUCAAAGCUGACUCGCAUAUUACAGUCUUCCUUAGGAGGCAAUGCUAGGACUGCUAUCAUCUGCACUAUAAGCCCUGCACGAACCCAUGUUGAACAAUCUAGAAACACACUCCUGUUUGCAAGUUGUGCUAAGGAAGUGACAACCAAUGCACAUGUCAAUGUGGUUGUGUCUGAUAAAGCAUUGGUAAAGCAACUGCAAAGGGAAUUAGCUAGAUUGGAGAGUGAGUUGAGAAGUACAGGAUCUAAUUCUGGUACAUCAGAUUCCACAGAGUUACUGAGAGAAAAAGAUCUUCAGAUUGAAAAGCUAAUGAGUGAGGUUUCAAAGCUGAAUCAGCAACUAGAAAUUGCUAAUUCUCGGGUUGUGAAUCUACUAAGAGUGGCUGAAGAUGAUGGAUCUUCAACAAUAUCAGCAGAUACAGAUCAUCAUUACCCAAAAUUGAGAGUGCGAAGUUCAUUUAAAUCUGAAAAUUCAGUAUCAUAUUCACUUGCUUCAGAGGAUCCUCGCUUCCUAGAUAUUGGCAUCAGGUCUUUUGAUGCGUCUCAGUGCUCUGCUGUAGACAAUAGUAGCAAUUCUGAUGAGAACUUCAUCCAACUUGUAGACUUUGAAGAGAAUUUUGUUCAAACUCCAGAACUGUCAAUUUGUACUUCUAAUCUUGUUGAUGAUGGUCUACAUGUGGAGGACAGAAAGGAACUGACUCAUGAAAAUCCAGGCAAUUUCGUCAAGGAAGUUCAAUGCAUCACAAUGGAUGAGUCAAGCGCAAACAGACAUCAAAAUUCACAAAUAUCAGAGACUAGCCCGCAGAGAUACACAGAAUCUAAUGUUUCAUCUCCUAAUAUAAACACAGGCACCUCAGGAUUGACAGAGGCUGAGAAUGAAGAUAGACAAGAUCAAGAAUUAGAGUCACCCCAAUUGAAGGAAGAGAAAGAGCUGAAUUGCUUGCUUUCUAAUUUUAUAGUACCAUCACCAGAAAAACCAUCUCCAUGGUUGGUGGAAGAAGGCAUGUCUAGGACUAGAAGUGUGAAGAUGAUCAGGAGUAGAAGUUGUAGAGCAAGACUUAUGAGUAUGCCGGCAUGUUUGUUUGAGAAGGUAGAAUGGAAUGACAGCACACCAUCUAUGAGGUUUGAGAAAGAUUUAAUUGGAAGAUAUGAGGGUUCUCGAAGAAAAUUUUUUGCAAUGAAGCAGGGCCAUGAUGCUGAAGAGUUAUCAAGAAAUGGCUCAUCGACUUCUGUGCGUAGUCCUGCUGUUGAUGAUCAUCAAUUGCAGAAUAUUGAAAAUUCAAUUGGUUGGAGGAGUACUGCCAGUGUCAGUAACUCAGAUGGGGGAAUAAAGUACUUGAUUGAUCAUCCGGUGAGUCUUUGUUUUCUUUUAUCCUGAUUUCUUUUUCUAAUAUCUCAAUACCUUUUUUCUUUCCGCACUGUUUAUCACUUUAUCAUUCAAUUAUGGACUUUAUUAGAAGAUAGUAAUGGGAACAAUUAAGGCCAUAUUUUUUGUUUGUACAUCAUUGACUAUUUAUAACUAUCAAAUCCAGAAGGAAUGCCAAAACUAUUCAGCUAUGUAGGGGGAUGUAUCAUAAAUCUUUUUUUCUUAUUAUUAUCAUUUUUUUUAAUAAAUUCUCUCUGCUUCUUCACUGUCCAUCCAUUUUCCCCUUUGUUGAAUUUGAAGGUGGACCAAUAUCAGAUUGAUUGAUGAGCUCACAGUUCAUUCACUUUAUCUUGAUUGUCAUCAUUGAUAGGAACAAGAAACAAAAUCAGAAGCCAUUGAAUCGACAAAGAAUGUAAAAGAUGUUGGGUUGGAUCCAAUCCAAGAUGACUUAGAUAGUGCUGUGAAGUGGGCUUCAGAAUUUAAGAGGCUCCAAGGGGAGAUUAUUGAACUUUGGGAUACUUGCAGUGUCUCAUUGAUUCACAGGACCUACUUCUUCCUGCUGUUUAAGGGUGAUCCAACAGAUUCUUUCUACAUGGAGAUCGAGCUCAGGAAGCUGUCCUUCCUCAAGAACACAUUUUCCCGGGGUAAUGAAACUCUGGUUGAUGGAAGAAGUCUAAGUCUCACUUCAAGCAAGAGGGCUUUGAAUCAAGAAAGGCAGAUGCUGUGUAGGCAAAUGCAGAAGAGGCUCUGUAGAGAAGAGAGAGAGAACAUUUUCCUGAAGUGGGGUAUUUCAUUGAGUUCAAGCAAUAGAAGGAUGCAGUUGGUCCACAGCCUGUGGACUAAGACAACAGAUACGGACCAUAUUACCGAGAGUGCCACUCUUGUUGCAAAAUUGAUUGGUUUUGAAGGGCAAGAGCAAACGUUGAAGGAAAUGUAUGGGCUUCUCAAUUUUACACCGCAGCACCUAAGCAGAGGGAAAUCUUCUAUUUGGAGACGCACUGUGUUGUCUAUUUUGUAAGUUUUUUGUGGAGUAACAUAGAGUAAAAGUAUCAUAACUAAUCGAUGAUUCAGACAGCACCAAUACACUGAUAAAUGUUCGAGUUAAAGGUAUUUUUCAUGAGAAUUUUCUCAUUCUAACUGUAAUUGUUCGUGAGAGAGCCUGUAAAUCGGUUCAUGGUAGAAAUGGUGUUAUUGCAAGGCUGAUGUUUCCAUUUUCUCCUUAAAAUUUUCUUCUUUUUGGCGUGUAAUCAAGAGGAAAAUAUGUAUAAUGAGAGUGUUAGAUAUGGUUCUGUGUGAACUUAAUAUGGAAGUUUCUUGAUUUUAGUGAUGACAUGUAUAAAUUUAGGAAAUUAUGAAUCUGUAUUGUGUGUAUGCCUUCCUCUCACUCAGGGUGAUUACUGAUUUCUGAAAGCCAUUUUUCUGGUUAUAUUUCUUCAGCAACUUCUCAAUAUGAGCAUCCACUUCAAAAUCGUAUGCAAAUACAAUUCCCCAGUGCGGUACUCGAACUAUUUUUUAUCUUUUCGUUUCGUUUUUAUUCUUUGUUAUUUGUUGAUUCAAGCAAAGAGGCGUCAAGAUUUACUCUCAAUUUUCUACACGAAGAUGAGGACUUUUAUCAUCCCAAUGUUCCUUUUCAUUAGUACAGUUAAAAAGCUUUUUGUAUAGUUUGCAAGAAGGUUGCACCUUUAGGUUGUAAAAUAUUUACUCUUUUUUCUGUUGUUGUUUAAUUUAACAAUUGGAUUUCUUUUAUAAAGAAAAAAAA